GCUUUCCCCUGAGGCUCUCUCUGAGGAUCUUGGAUUUGCUUCUGGAAGCUUAGCUCUGGAGAAGAGCAGCAUUCAGGACAAGCGAACAGGUCUGAAGGACACACCAACUCAGGAAGACUGGCUGGUGAGUGUGCUUCCUGAAGGAUCCAGGGUUGGUGUGGACCCCUUGAUCAUUCCUACAGAUUAUUGGAAGAAAAUGGCCAAAGUUCUGAGAAGUGCCGGCCACCACCUCAUUCCUGUCAAGGAGAACCUCGUUGACAAAAUCUGGACAGACCGUCCUGAGCGCCCUUGCAAGCCUCUCCUCACACUGGGCCUGGAUUACACAGGCAUCUCCUGGAAGGACAAGGUUGCAGACCUUCGGUUGAAAAUGGCUGAGAGGAACGUCAUGUGGUUUGUGGUCACUGCCUUGGAUGAGAUUGCGUGGCUAUUUAAUCUCCGAGGAUCAGAUGUGGAGCACAAUCCAGUAUUUUUCUCCUACGCAAUCAUAGGACUAGAGACGAUCAUGCUCUUCAUUGAUGGUGACCGCAUAGACGCCCCCAGUGUGAA
rnacentral:sRNA from 1 species